GACUGACCUCGAACUUGUGAUCCUCCUGCCUCAGCCUCUGAAAUUGCCAGGAUUACAGUCAAGUGCCACCAUGUCUGGCCUAGAGCAAUAGUUGCUACUUCAUUCUGAUUCCUAAUGAGAAUGGCUUGGAUCCAAAUUCUGAAAGUAAAAUCAAGCAGUGAUUUUGUGUUAAAACCUAGGUAGGAAAGUAAUUGUGGUCAUGUUCCAAUAACAGUUUUAGUUUUAUUUAUAGUACCUUAUAUAGUAUGCUAAUCAGUCUCCAAAGCAUCACCUGAUGAUUGUAUUGAUACCAGUAAACAUGUUAAGAAAAUUAUGUAAUUCUUGGUUGAGCCAAAAAUAAUGAUAUUGUUGAGGUAAUCCAUAAAUGACUACAAUUUGGCAAAUAUUGAUUUAAUGUAUGCUUUAUGCCUUAACAUAAUUUGCUUGCAAAUUGACCCUAGUUUUUUGUUGUUAUUGUUGUUUUGUUUUUUGGUACCAGGGAUUGAACCCAGGGCCCUGCACUUAACCACUGAGCCACAUCCCUAGCCCUUUUUAUUUAGAGACAGGGUCUCACUAAGGUGUUUAGGCAAGGCAUCACUAAAUUUCUUAGGCUGGCCUUGAACUCAAAAUCUUCCUGCCUCAGCCUCCCAAGCCACUGAGAUUUUUUUUUUUUUUUAAUCUUGGGUUUAGUAUAUUAUCCGAUCCCUAGGCAAAAGGUUGGGAAGUUGUUUCUUUUUCUUUCUUUCUUUCUUUUUUAACUCAUUUUCUCCUUUUUACCCCUAUUUUGAACAUGUGUGAUCCCCUAUUUUCUGGUAUUUUCAUGCUGAGUUCUAAAAGCCUAAAGUCUCAAUUAAAAUAUUCCCACCAUAAUUGCCAACAAAUCAUAAGUCCAUGCUGCCUUUCCCCUAAUCAAAAUUUUUAUUCUUUUUAGCAGUUAGUUUUAGUAAAAACCAGAGUAAACAGAUUACCUGGUAAUAAUAAUCAGUGAUAGAGAUUAUCCUUAAGCCUUAGUUAUUUGGAGGAGAAAUGGUCAAAAGGUGGUGGUGGGGGGAACCUCCACCAAACCUAACAAAAAAGUAAUUCAAAAGUGUGCCACUGACUUAAAUGUAAACAUACAAAACUUGAGAAUGAAACAGGGAAGUCUUCUGGACCUAGUGAAUAAUUCAUGAUUAAUAGUUCUUACCCACCCCCCCAAAAAAAAUCAUAAAAGGAAAACUUGACAAAUUGACCUCAUCAAAAUUACAAACUUUCCUUUCCUAAAGACUGUUAAAAAGUGGUCAUCAUUAUCCUAGGUACAUGUAUGACAGCACAUAGGUAUGAUGCUACAUCAUGUACCACCAGAGAAAUGAAAAGUUGUGCUGCAGUUGUGUACAAUGAAUCAAAAUGCAUUCUGCUGUCAUAUAUACCUAAUUAAAAUAAAUUUAAAAAACUGUUAAAAAAGAUGAAAAACCUGUAGAUUGAGAGCAAUUAUUGGUAAAGACCUAUAGAAUAUAUCAGGAACUUUAGGAACAUAACAGAAAAAAAUCCAAUUAAAAAAUAGGC
rnacentral:lncRNA from 1 species